rnacentral:rRNA from 1 species
GACAGAGGAUGCAAGCGUUAUCCGGAAUGAUUGGGCGUAAAGCGUCUGUAGGUGGCUUUUUAAGUCCGCCGUCAAAUCCCAGGGCUCAACCCUGGACAGGCGGUGGAAACUACCAAGCUGGAGUACGGUAGGGGCAGAGGGAAUUUCCGGUGGAGCGGUGAAAUGCGUAGAGAUCGGAAAGAACACCGAUGGCGAAGGCACUUUACUGGGCUAUUACUAACACUCAGAGACGGAAAAGCUAGGGUAGCAAAUGGG